UACAGAGGGGGCAAGCGUUGUUCGGAAUUACUGGGCGUAAAGGGCGCGUAGGCGGCCUGUUAAGUCGAACGUGAAAUCCCCGGGCUCAACCCGGGAACUGCGUCCGAUACUGGCAGGCUUGAAUUCGGGAGAGGGAUGUGGAAUUCCAGGUGUAGCGGUGAAAUGCGUAGAUAUCUGGAGGAACACCGGUGGCGAAGGCGGCAUCCCGGACCGAUAUUGACGCUGAUGCGCGAAAGCCAGGGGAGCAAACGGG
rnacentral:rRNA from 1 species